CUAUGCGCCUUGCCAGCCCGCUCAGGUGUGCCAGCAGCCGCGGUAAUACGUAGGGGGCAAGCGUUAUCCGGAUUUACUGGGUGUAAAGGGAGCGUAGACGGCAGUGCAAGUCUGGAGUGAAAGGCCGGGGCUCAACCCCGGGACUGCAUUGGAAACUGUAAAGCUAGAGUGCCGGAGAGGUAAGCGGAAUUCCUAGUGUAGCGGUGAAAUGCGUAGAUAUUAGGAGGAACACCAGUGGCGAAGGCGGCUUACUGGACGGCAACUGACGCUGAGGCUCGAAAGCGUGGGGAGCAAACAGG
rnacentral:rRNA from 1 species